AAUAGCCAAAAAUAGUUCCAGGUUCUAAAGUCGGGUUACUAAUUACCCGUACUGCAUCAAUUUCGGUGUCAUAAAUUCCACCAAAAAACAUCGCCUUGAGGACUAAAAGAAAAGCCCCACAGCCUAAAAUUAUCAAGUGAUGCCCCAAGAUUAAGCCCAAUUGCUUCGGAUCGUUCCA
rnacentral:antisense_RNA from 1 species